UGGCUACAGCGUUGCGGUCCGGACAGAGCAAAAAAAACAAGGCAUCAGUAUUGUUGAGUAUUAGCUUGUACCUGGUUCGGAGGCUAAGUUUGCGGGAGAAAGCAGGGGUGAGCCACGGUGGCUGCCUGGCUGUGCACCGGGGCCGGAGGUUGGACCAAGACAAAGACAGGAGCUGUCCGCGGUGCUGAAUCGGCGGCGCCGCCGCCGGGGCAAGAGGGCUUCUGUAACCAGCCCUCUGCUCAUUCGCUCCCCAUCCUUCUAACUCCCCUUCGCUCUGUGACUCUUGCCUUCCCCUGAAUUUAUUUCCCUUUUGGGGGGCUCACCUUAGGAUCUGCGCCCUGUACACAGGUGUAUAUACAUAUAUCAAAGAACAAAACGAUUGAUUGAAAACGGUGUCUUCUCCUUUCUUCCCAAAUAAAUGAUGCUAGAAAGGUUUAUUUUAACUGUACUCUAAAAUGGAGAGAAACGGACAUUUCCACUCCUAAAUAAAUGAAAAUUCGUGUUAAAAACAAUGCAACUAACCUAUAACAAA